rnacentral:lncRNA from 1 species
AAAAUGCAAUAAAUUAUAAUGCAUAAUAUACAUUUUAUAUGGAUCUAUAUGUUGUUAUUAUUACCUAGCUCUUUUAAACAUGACCCUUAGCUCUAGCUGGCUCUUAUAAAAAACAAACUUAAGUAGAUUCAAAAUUAAUCACACUACUUAAUAAAUGUGAGCCUUGUAUGCUGCAUUACAUAUAAUUGUUAUUAACCAUGCAUUGGAUAGACUGUAUUACUGUACUUCCAUCCUUCACAGCAUUAUUUUAAUUUGCAUCAAAUGAAAUAUGGCAUCCUCCCUCACUGUGUCCUAUAGGAAGUAGAAAUGUCCCUCUCUCUGAUGGCCCUCUGUCUUAUUCAUCUCUUACAUGGCCUUUAUCAACUACAGAGAUAUGUCAAUUCUCCUUAUUUGUUUCAUAAUAGCUAAUAGCUGAUUUCUUUGUUUCCAGGGUGACAUCCAGCAGCUGAUGAUUGUAUCGGACCACCGUGCUGCGUUUGACUACUGUGAGCACUACAGCCCUGACUGUGAGGUUCCUGCACCCGAACAGCACCAAAACCAAGACCCAAACACUGAUGACUCUAAAACAGAGGAUGAUAACUACUAUUACGAAUAUCCGUACUAUGAGGACAUGGAAUCAGAAACGACUGGAACUGAAACUGAAACUGAAGACCUAACGGUGUCUGUUCCGGAUAGCGGUCGUGUGGUUUCGUCAGUUAUCACUAGUGGAACAGGAGGCUCCAGCAGUUCUGCGAGUAGCUCCUCGUCAUCCUCCUCUUCAUCCUCUUCAUCAUCCAGCUCUACCACGACUACUGGCGAGGAUCCGUAUGAUGGCUACGACGGAUACGAGACCGAAUACGAAACAACAUACUAUGACGAGACGACCUCACAGCCUGAUGGCUCCCGGACCAUCACCAUCACUAGCACAGGCACAGGUGCCGGCGGAGAAGUGGAUAUUGGACUGGGCGGUGAGGUGGAUAUUGGACUGGGAGACCUGGACAGGAGGAUCAUUACAUCAUCAUCAUCAUCAGGAGGAGGAGGAAGUGUAAGAGUACACACAACCACCACAGUCAUUCACAAUGGAACUUCUGGCUCCGGCACUGGCUCUAGCACCAGAACUAUUACUAGCUCCAGCUCCGGCUCCAGCUCCAGCUCCAGCUCCAGUUCCAGUUCUGGCGUUAGUACUGGCUCCAGCUCCAGCUCUACCUCGGUGAGUUUAGUUGGAACUAGUUAUCCGAAACAAUUUCAAUCUUAA